UACGGGGGGAGCAAGCGUUGUUCGGAUUUAUUGGGCGUAAAGAGCGUGUAGGCGGCUAGGUAGGUCCGUUGUGAAAACUCGAGGCUCAACCUCGAGACGUCGAUGGAAACCAUCUAGCUAGAGUCCGGAAGAGGAGAGUGGAAUUCCUGGUGUAGCGGUGAAAUGCGCAGAUAUCAGGAAGAACACCCGUGGCGAAGGCGGCUCUCUGGUACGUGACUGACGCUGAGACGCGAAAGCGUGGGGAGCGAACAGG
rnacentral:rRNA from 1 species